UACGGAGGGGGCUAGCGUUGCUCGGAAUCACUGGGCGUAAAGCGCACGUAGGCGGACUCUUAAGUCAGGGGUGAAAUCCUGGAGCUCAACUCCAGAACUGCCUUUGAUACUGAGAGCCUUGAGUUCGGGAGAGGUGAGUGGAACUGCGAGUGUAGAGGUGAAAUUCGUAGAUAUUCGCAAGAACACCAGUGGCGAAGGCGGCUCACUGGCCCGAUACUGACGCUGAGGUGCGAAAGCGUGGGGAGCAAACAGG
rnacentral:rRNA from 1 species